rnacentral:lncRNA from 1 species
ACAUCAUUUAGAAAAUCUAAUUUUGAUGUAAUAUGAAUUGGAUCUAAUCCAUAUCACAAUAAUAACAUGAUGUUUGAUUGAAUCAAUCAAGGAUAGCUUUGAUGCCACUGUUGGAUUUUGGUGACGUAGUGGAAUAUGAUUUUUAAAAUUUUUUAUAUACAUUCAACUAUUGAAAAUAAGUUUUAACAAUUAAAAUAUGACUAUCGAAAUACAAACCCUAGGAACUCCUUAAUGAUUACAAACAAACAAUUCUAGCAUGCAUAUUAAUGAGGGAUUAGAAAUCAUAUACCAAAUAUGAAGAUGAGAAUCUGAUAAUAGAAAGAUCUCCGCAAGGCUCCAAAGUAGAAGCCCUCCAAUGGUGAUCCACAUGGGACAGAUCAGGGUCCUUUUCAAUUUGACGUAAUGCUGCAGCUUUCUUUGCAAGUUCACUGCAAAUCAUCCUUCUCAAGAAUGGGUUGCACCAUUGCCUAUAUGCCUUUGAAACCUCCACUAGGACCACACUAGAGAAC